GAUAAAACCAAAUUUAUGUUGUUUGGAAACCAAAAGAAAAACAUCGAAGUAGAAAUAUGUGUUGACAAUGUAUAUUUAGAAAGAGUAAAUGAAAUAAAAUUUCUUGGGGUGAUCAUUGACCACAAGCUCUGUUGGAAGCCACACAUUACUUAUGUUCGGGGGAAAUUGGCACGGGGCAUUGCCGUCCUGGGAAAAGCAAAGCAUAUGUUGGAUCAGAAAGCACUGCACAUUUUAUACUGUGCUUUACUACUGCCAUAUAUGAGCUACUGUGUAGAGGUCUGUGGAAACACAUACAAAAGUAACACACAAACAAUAACUAUAAUACAGAAAAGGGCCAUUAGAUUAAUAAAUAAUGUAGGGUACAGGGACCAUACAAAUGCACUCUUUGUCAAAAUGCAAGCUAUUAAAUUCCAAGACUUGGUGAAGCUUAAAACAGCGCAAAUAAUGUAUAAAGUCAGAAAUAAAUUGCUUCCCAAAGAAAUCUGUAAAUUGUUCAUAGAAAGAGAAGGUGGGUAUAACUUAAGAGGGAAAUGGAAUUUAAAAAUACAAAGUGCUAGAACAACUUUAAGAACUAUGUCAAUCUCAAUUGCAGGAGUUAAAUUAUGGAACAGUCUAACAGAAGAAAUAAAAGACAGUCAAAACAUAAAACAGUUUAAAGUAAAAUAUAAAAACCUAAUUUUAAAUAAGUAUAAGAAUGAAGAAAACGGGGUUAACCCAGGAUGGUAAUGUUGCUGGUAAUGGUGUUGCGGUUCUUUUUUGGUUGUUUUUUUGUUUUGUUUUGGUUUGUUGUUUUUCCAUAACUUGUGUAUCUGCAAAUAUACACAUUCUGUAUUUUUCAUAUGAAAGAAACUAUACUGUGGUGGGGCUUGCUAAUUUCUUGUUUUUGAUUUAUGUAUGUUAUGUUUUGUUUUACUUCAUAUGUUUAUAUGUUUCAUAUGUUGUUUGUUUAAUUUAAGACAAAAAAAAAAAUUUAAUGAAUGAGAGGUAAAACUUGAGGGGGUAGGGACAAAUAAGUAAAUACUUCAGCCUACUCCUUUUCAAACAAAUAAUGGAAUGAUAUUUUGUAAUGAUUGUGAAGGCACAUGUUUGAAAUGUUUGAAAUAAAAAUGAACUGAACUGAACUGAACUGAAGAAAGGUGAUGGUGGGCUCCCACUUCAGGUCCUGGGUGAUGGUGGUACCCAGGAAGCGGAA
ensembl:lncRNA